UACGAAGGGUGCUAGCGUUGUUCGGAAUCACUGGGCGUAAAGCGCGCGUAGGCGGCGAUGCAAGUCAGAGGUGAAAUCCCCAGGCUCAACCUGGGAACUGCCUUUGAAACUGCAUUGCUUGAGUGUCGGAGGGGAUAGCGGAAUUGCUAAUGUAGAGGUGAAAUUCGUAGAUAUUAGCAGGAACACCGGUGGCGAAGGCGGCUAUCUGGACGACAACUGACGCUGAGGCGCGAAAGCGCGGGGAGCAAACAGG
rnacentral:rRNA from 1 species